rnacentral:rRNA from 1 species
AUUGAACGCUAGCGGGAUGCUUAACACAUGCAAGUCGAACGAGUGGCGGACGGGUGAGUAAUAUAUCGGAAUGUGCCCUGUAGCGGGGGAUAACUCCUGGAAAGUGUGGCUAAUACCGCGUACUAUUGGAGCAGCCGAUGUAGGAUUAGCUAGUUGGUGGGGUAAAGGCUCACCAAGGCGACGAUCCGUAGCUGGUUUGAGAGGACGACCAGCCACACUGGGACUGAGAAACGGCCCAGACUCCUACGGGAGGCAGCAGGGGGGAAUUUUGGGCAAUGGGGGAAACCCUGAUGCAGCCAUGCCGCGUGAAUGAGAAGGCCUUCGGGUUGUAAAGUACUUUUGGCAGAGAAGCGGUAUUUGCAGAAUAAGCACCGGCUAACUACGUGCCAGCAGCCGCGGUAAUAC